UUGAAUCGUAAUAUAUACGAUGAGAUCACCCCGUGAUCUGUUAAAAUUAUGACAACCAGAAAGAAUCAAUCGGAUGAUUGAAAAGUUUAAAGCAUGAUUGCUGUGUGAAUGGUACAGAUUCAGAAAAGGAUUAUGAAUACGGAUUAAAUGAAAUUCGUAUUGAGAAGGGGGUUAAGUAUUAGGUGGGGAUUUCAAUGAGGACUCGUGUCGGCAACUGAGUUGUAUGAUUUCUUGUAUGGGCGGGGAAUUGUACUUGGUGUAAAAACUACUUAGUUGGUGGCAUUGGUAAUAAUUGAAAUGUUGUGUCACGCUAGUUGUUAUAUACAGAUAAAUAGGUCAUAGGUAGAGAAUAUAGGAUUAAGUACGAGUUCUUAGAACUCAUACUUAUGUGACAUUCUUGACUCAUAGUUAUAUGAAAUGUUUAUGAGCCCCUCAGCGAACGGACGCCAAAGGUCAGACUAGGGUAAGUUCGUAAACUCAUAUAAUUGUGGCCAGGUUAUGAACUCAUAAGUG
rnacentral:lncRNA from 1 species